AUUGAACGCUGGCGGCAUGCCUUACACAUGCAAGUCGAACGGUAGAGGGGCAACCCUCGAGAGUGGCGAACGGGUGAGUAACGCAUCGGAACGUGCCCAGUAGUGGGGGAUAGCCCGGCGAAAGCCGGAUUAAUACCGCAUACGACCUACGGGUGAAAGCGGGGGAUCGCACGACCUCGCGCUAUUGGCGCGGCCGAGGUCAGAUUAGGUAGUUGGUGGGGUAAAAGCCUACCAAGCCGACGAUCUGUAGCUGGUCUGAGAGGACGACCAGCCACACUGGGACUGAGACACGGCCCAGACUCCUACGGGAGGCAGCAGUGGGGAAUUUUGGACAAUGGACGCAAGUCUGAUCCAGCCAUGCCGCGUGCGGGAAGAAGGCCUUCGGGUUGUAAACCGCUUUUGUCAGGGAAGAAACGCUCUGAGCUAAUAUCUCGGAGUAAUGACGGUACCUGAAGAAUAAGCACCGGCUAACUACGUGCCAGCCGCCGCAGUAA
rnacentral:rRNA from 1 species